rnacentral:rRNA from 1 species
UACUCCUACGGGAGGCAGCAGUGGGGAAUAUUGGACAAUGGGCGAAAGCCUGAUCCAGCAAUGCCGCGUGAGUGAUGAAGGCCUUAGGGUUGUAAAGCUCUUUUACCCGGGAUGAUAAUGACAGUACCGG